rnacentral:lncRNA from 1 species
AGGAAACUUUAGCUUUCCUUUGUCAAUCCAACUUUGGAUAUCACCACGAAAUACGACACAAUUGUUUGUGGCAUGCUUGGUCGAGUUAUGAUAUUUACAAUAUGUCUUUCCUUUAAGCUCUUCGACCGUGGGAAUAUUAUGCCCUGGCCGAAGCUUGAUGAUUUUUGCUGAUAGCAAUUGAUCAAAAAUCGCUUCGACCUUUGUAAUAUCAAAGGUGUAAACUUUUGAAGUCUUCGUAGUUCCUUCCGUGGUCGAACGAAUUUUGGCAUCCUUGGAAUUAAUUUGAGUCAACGCCUUGCAAAUGUAUAGUUUAUCUAUUACUAUCUCAGCCGCAUCCACGUUGAUGUAUUGAGACUCUUCGCCUUCG